CUGUGGUACACGCCGCGCGCGCUCCCUACCCUCACUCGCGAAACUGUACAUAGAAAACACCCACAGUGGAAAAGUGAACGAAAAAACACCCAGUGAUUUUAAAAUUCGAAUAAACGUUUAGUUUAAUUUUUCUUCUUCUUCAAUAGUUACGUGAUUACGAAAUUAGUGAUUGCUCGAAUUAUUAGGUUUUCGCGUGCUGGUCAUAGUAUGAAAGUUAUCCGUAAUAUCGUAGUGUAGUGAAGUGUAUGUAAUUGAUAACAUAGAAGUUCUUCACUGAUAUUUUCUUCAACUGUUAAAAGAUAAAAUUUCUUCCAACAUUCCGCAACUAUGGAGGUGCUAGGUGCUGCUCGAAGUGAACAGAAUGCGCAUACGCUUAGAAUACAAACUGACACCUAUUUGUAUAGUUGAGCACCCACCGAAGAUGGUUAAGUAGUUUAGACUGUAAUUAAGUGAAAAAUGAGCUUAUAAGUUAAGUAUAUGUCCGGAGAAAGGAUGCCUUAUUACGGGUAUCGCGAGGGG